CUUUAACGCUGGCGGAAUGCUUUACACAUGCAAGUCGAACGGCAGCACGGGGGCAACCCUGGUGGCGAGUGGCGAACGGGUGAGUAAUACAUCGGAACGUGCCCGGUCGUGGGGGAUAACGUAGCGAAAGUUACGCUAAUACCGCAUACGAUCUGAGGAUGAAAGCGGGGGACCUUCGGGCCUCGCGCGAUCGGAGCGGCCGAUGUCAGAUUAGGUAGUUGGUGGGGUAAAGGCCUACCAAGCCGACGAUCUGUAGCUGGUCUGAGAGGACGACCAGCCACACUGGGACUGAGACACGGCCCAGACUCCUACGGGAGGCAGCAGUGGGGAAUUUUGGACAAUGGGCGCAAGCCUGAUCCAGCCAUUCCGCGUGCAGGACGAAGGCCUUCGGGUUGUAAACUGCUUUUGUAUGGAACGAAAAGGCUCUGGCUAAUACCUGGGGCUCAUGACGGUACCGUAAGAAUAAGCACCGGCUAACUACGUG
rnacentral:rRNA from 1 species